UCUCCACAAACUGCCCAGGAGUGAGUAGCUGCUUUCGGUCCGCCGGACAGACCGGACAGAUAGACGUGCGGACGGCCCACCACCCCAGCCCGCCAACUAGCCAGCCUGCGCCUGGCGCCUCCCCUCUCCAGGUCCAUCCGCCAUGUGGCCCCUGUGGCGCCUCGUGUCUCUGCUGGCCCUGAGCCAGGCCCUGCCCUUUGAGCAGAGAGGCUUCUGGGACUUCACCCUGGACGAUGGGCCGUUCAUGAUGAACGAUGAGGAAGCUUCGGGCGCUGACACCUCGGGCGUCCUGGACCCGGACUCUGUCACACCCACCUACAGUGCCAUGUAGAUCUCCCCUGACACCACGCUGCUGGACCUGCAGAACAACGACAUCUCCGAGCUCCGCAAGGAUGACUUCAAGGGUCUCCAGCACCUCUACGCCCUCGUCCUGGUGAACAACAAGAUCUCCAAGAUCCACGAGAAGGCCUUCAGCCCACUGCGGAAGCUGCAGAAGCUCUACAUCUCCAAGAACCACCUGGUGGAGAUCCCGCCCAACCUACCCAGCUCCCUGGUGGAGCUCCGCAUCCACGACAACCGCAUCCGCAAGGUGCCCAAGGGCGUGUUCAGCGGGCUCCGGAACAUGAACUGCAUCGAGAUGGGCGGGAACCCACUGGAGAACAGUGGCUUUGAACCUGGAGCCUUUGAUGGCCUGAAGCUCAACUACCUGCGCAUCUCAGAGGCCAAGCUGACUGGCAUCCCCAAAGACCUCCCUGAGACCCUGAAUGAACUCCACCUGGACCACAACAAAAUCCAGGCCAUCGAACUGGAGGACCUGCUUCGCUACUCCAAGCUGUACAGGCUGGGCCUAGGCCACAACCAGAUCAGGAUGAUCGAGAACGGGAGCCUGAGCUUCCUGCCCACCCUCCGGGAGCUCCACUUAGACAACAACAAGUUGGCCAGGGUGCCCUCAGGGCUCCCAGACCUCAAGCUCCUCCAGGUGGUCUAUCUGCACUCCAACAACAUCACCAAAGUGGGUGUCAACGACUUCUGUCCCGUGGGCUUCGGGGUGAAGCGGGCCUACUACAACGGCAUCAGCCUCUUCAACAACCCCGUGCCCUACUGGGAGGUGCAGCCGGCCACUUUCCGCUGCGUCACUGACCGCCUGGCCAUCCAGUUUGGCAACUACAAAAAGUAGAGGCAGCUGCAGCCACCGCGGGGCCUCAGUGGGGGACUCUGGGGAACACAGCCAGCCAUCCUGAUGGGGAGGCAGAGCCAGGAAGCUAAGCCAGGGCCCAGCUGCGUCCAACCCAGCCCCCCACCUCGGGUCCCUGACCCCAGCUCGCUGCCCCAUCACCGCCUCUCCCUGGCUCCCAAGGGUGCAGGUGGGCGCAAGGCCCGGCCCCCAUCACAUGUUCCCUCGGCCUCAGAGCUGCCCCUGCUCUCCCACCACAGCCACCCAGAGGCACCCCAUGAAGCUUUUUUCUCAUUCACUCCCAAACCCAAGUGUCCAAGGCUCCAGUCCUAGGAGAACAGUCCCUGGGUCAGCAGCCAGGAGGCGGUCCAUAAGAAUGGGGACAGUGGGCUCUGCCAGGGCUGCCGCACCUGUCCAGACACACAUGUUCUGUUCCUCCUCCUCAUGCAUUUCCAGCCUUUCAACCCUCCCCCACUCUGCGGCUCCCCUCAGCCCCCUUGCAAGUUCAUGGCCUGUCCCUCCCAGACCCCUGCUCCACUGGCCCUUCGACCAGUCCUCCCUUCUGUUCUCUCUUUCCCCUUCCUUCUUCCCUCUCUCUCUCUCUCUCUCUUUCUCUGUGUGUGUGUGUGUGUGUGUGUGUGUGUCUUGUGCUUCCUCAGACCUUUCUCGCUUCUGAGCUUGGUGGCCUGUUCCCUCCAUCUCUCCGAACCUGGCUUCGCCUGUCCCUUUCACUCCACACCCUCUGGCCUUCUGCCUUGAGCUGGGACUGCUUUCUGUCUGUCCGGCCUGCACCCAGCCCCUGCCCACAAAACCCCAGGGACAGCGGUCUCCCCAGCCUGCCCUGCUCAGGCCUUGCCCCCAAACCUGUACUGUCCCGGAGGAGGUUGGGAGGUGGAGGCCCAGCAUCCCGCACAGAUGACACCAUCAAGGGGGGAGCCCUAGGCCUGUCAGGCCCUGGCCCUUCUGCCCCAAAGAGAGGAGAGGCCCCACAUCCCGCCAGAGUCCCAGACACCGGUUUUCCUAGAACCCCCUCACCCCCACUGGCCCACUGCUGGCUAGGUCUCCCCUUAUCCUUCUGGUCCAGCGCAAGGAGGGGCUGCUUCUGAGGUCGGUGGCUGUCUUUCCAUUAAAGAAACACUGUGCAACGUG
rnacentral:sRNA from 1 species